UACGGAGGGUGCAAGCGUUAUCCGGAUUCACUGGGUUUAAAGGGAGCGUAGGUGGGGUGGUAAGUCAGUGGUGAAAUCUCCGGGCUUAACUCGGAACGGUCAAGUGAUACUGUCGGACUAGAGUACAGAAGGGGCAACUGGAAUUCUCGGUGUAGCGGUGAAAUGCGUAGAUAUCGAGAGGAACACCUGCGGCGAAGGCGGGUUGCUGGGCUGAUACUGACGCUGAGGCGCGAAAGCCAGGGGAGCGAACGGG
rnacentral:rRNA from 1 species